AAUUUUCCGCAAUGGGCGCAAGCCUGACGGAGCAAGACCGCGUGGGGGAUGAAUGCCUAAUGGUUGUAAACCCCUUUUCUCUGGGAAGAUGAUGACGGUACCAGAGGAAUCAGCCUCGGCUAACUCCGUGCCAGCAGCCGCGGUAAUACGGAGGAGGCAAGCGUUAUCCGGAAUUAUUGGGCGUAAAGCGUCCGUAGGUGGUUGUUCAAGUCUGCUGUCAAAGCGUGGGGCUCAACUCCAUAGAGGCAGUGGAAACUGGGUAACUAGAGUGCGGUAGGGGUCGAGGGAAUUCCCAGUGUAGCGGUGAAAUGCGUAGAUAUUGGGAAGAACACCAGUGGCGAAAGCGCUCGACUGGGCCUGCACUGACACUGAGGGACGAAAGCUAGGGGAGCGAAAGGGAUUAGAUACCCCUGUAGUCCUAGCCGUA
rnacentral:rRNA from 1 species